GGGCGUAUGGUUUAGGGGUAUAAUAUCUCAUUUGCAGUGCCUCUUCGGCAAUGAAAUUUGAGAUGGUCCUGGGUUCGAUUCCCAGUGCGUCCA
rnacentral:tRNA from 1 species